rnacentral:lncRNA from 1 species
CAGCAAUGGCCAGUAAACUUCUGCAACCAGGUAACCAUCAGCCUGACUACCCGUUUGUUUCUAUCUAGACUAUUGGAUGUUUAUUUUUUGUUCUCAUAAUCAAAGCCUGAAGAAGAGCUUUGUAUCAUCUGAAAACCGGCUUCCACUUUUAAAGAAAACUAAUUGUCAGGGACUGGGCAGAGGAGGAAUGGUGGAGACUUCCUCCCCAUCCUGACCCUUCCUGGGGGGGGGGGGGAGAGAGGAAGACAGUAUAGAUUUACAACAGGGGUUUGAGCAGCUCAGAGGCAGAUGAGGGGGAAAGCUGGGAAAUCAUGGGAGACCCUGAACAAUACCUGGCUGAAACAUUGUCAUUAGAAAGUAUUCCAGACCCUCCAUCUCCCAGAACCCAGUGAGCCUUAAAAGUAGGAGAGCAAAGAGCUCGAAGACAGAGGGCAACUGUAGAAGAGACGAAUGAGGAAGUGGGAGAGAUGGGGAGGUGGAGAUUCACUCGGGACAACACCAUUAUCCAAGAGGCUGGGUUCUAUAGCCUCUCUCUGUAAAGUUUGUAAUAAAAAAGGACGGUCAGAAACUUUUCCUUGUCUUUAUACACUCCUGGGCAACCAGCCAGGAGCCUCUGACAGCAUCCUUACAAUUUACUUGGUGUUCAGCUGCCAGUUCUACUCAGUGGCAUCCUGAAGCUAAGUGGUCUGGGUACAUCUGCCUAGGCUAUUACUUCACUGGGUCACUGCUCUCCAUGUGAGGUCAGUGGGGCUGUCCUACCCAUUGGUUUGGCAUGGCAUGGAGAAGAUCGGGACGUAAGGACAGGGCUUUGCAAUACAGGUAGAAUAAACCAGGGCUGGCAAAAUAAAUAUUGUGGUACCUUGGUUCCUUGACAGCUUAGCUGUUGAACAAAUCAGCUCCCGAAUUCCGCAAACGCGGAAGUAAGUGUUUCGGUUUGCAAAUGUUUUUAGGAAGCUGAAUGUCCGACAUGGCUUAUGUGGCUUCCAACUGAGUGCAGGAAGUUCCUGCAGCCAAUCGGAAGCCGUGCCUUGGUUUUUGAACAGUUUCAGGAGUCGAACUCCCAGAACGGAUUAAGUUCGAGAACCAAAGUAUCACUGUAAAGCUAUGGAUGCCUUUGGAAGUGCCAUCACAACUUUCCAAAUCUUUGUGUAAUUUCUGUGCUCAUCUCUGCUCUCUUAUUAAGAGAAAUGGCAAUCUUUGAUAAACAAUAUUAUGUCAGUAAGAGUAAACAACCUAUUAAAUUGUCCCUGGAUUUUAUUUUAUUUUAUUGGAAACUUUUUUAAAAAGGUGGGAGCAGAAAACAUCUUUGUGUAUUUAUUUUCAGCGAGAUAAGCACGUUUAGCGCAAUAAAUUAGAAUGCAACGGAUGGGCAAAAAUCACAUCAUCUUUUCCCCGAUAUCACUGUGCAGCCAGCGGUCCGUUUCACAGCACCUUAAUGGCUGACAAGUUCAGUGAGCAAAAAUUCCUUUUAGAAGAAUGUAUUUCUAAAUGUGUCGACAUUUAGUGUCUUCCAUGACUGAAUAUUAAUCAUAGCUAAUCUCUCAAAAUUACAUACUUUAUUCUAUCCUGAUUUACAGUCUCUCUUCAAACCCCAAGAUUAAAAGCAUUUACUCUCAUGGUUCUGUAGUGUAAUGACAUCAUUAUAAAGCAGAAGGGAAAUGUUUUCAUUGCGGAGUUAUCAUUAAAUUGUGCUGAUGAAGGAUAAUGCAUGGAUUGCAUAGGAAUUUGUCAUUAGAAGUGUGUUUAACUACUAUUGGGGGCUGGACAGUUUCUUAUUUUUGUCUGUAGAAAAUGCGGCAGUCUAAAAAAGAGAAUGCUGAAGAUGGAACUCAUCAAAAGUGCUACAUUACAUGAUGCCCAUUUCUGCUGAAGCAACACAAACCCAGUUCUGCUUUUAACCUGGGAUGCAGACAUUGUACCUUUGGUAGCUGUAUGAAUGGGCAAACUACACCACAGCAUGCUCACAAAAUAUAAUGCAGGCCUUUCAUUCCUGAUUCUCCUGCCUGACCAUCCUUGCCAACCUUUGUGGGCCCCUCCCCCCAAAAAAACCCUUCCCAUCCCCUCUCCAACUCCUGAAACACACCUUCUCAUUCCUCUCCCAUCAGUCAUCUGGAACAGCAAUGCAUGAGCAGAGAACUGAAAGGAAAUUUUGCAAUUGCAGGAGCCCUAAGGAGAACAUCUCUUAGGAUCCCUUGAGCUUAGUGAACCCUGAUGCUACUUCAAAAAAUAAAUAAAUCAGGGUGACACAGAAGGAAGGAGAGAAAAGGAAAACCUCCCUUCAGCCAUCUCCUAACAUAGGAAUGGGGGAGAAAAACAAUUCCAUUCCCAGUUUGCUUUAUCUGAAACAAUAUAGCCAUCCUUCAAAAUUCACACUUUUUUGAAUUUUGCAACACAGCUCUCCAACCAGGUAAAUCCAUGCAAAACUGUAUAUUUUAUUCUAAAGCAGGGUUUCCUAAACUUGUGUCUCCAGCUGCUGUAGGACUACAACUCCCAUCAUCCCUAGUUAUCGGAGCCAGUGGUCAGGGAUGAUGGGAAUCAUAGUCCUACAGUAGUUUAGGAAACCCUGUUCUAAAGUGUACAUAGAAAUAGAUAUAUUAGUGGGGGACACAAACAAAUACACAUAUUUUAGGGGGAUUUCUUUUGCAAAAAUGUGCAUAUUAAGCAUAUUAAGCAACAUGACAUUACGUGCAUUCACACUAAAGUGGUGGUGAAUUUUCACAAGGACUUUGAAACAAACUGCAAAAUGAUGUGGAAAUGUGGAGAACUGAGCUCAUGAUUUGUGAAAUGUGAAACAGAAAUGAAGUGAAGGGGGACUGAGGAAAUUGGGAACCAUGAGAACUGAUUGAGAUGUGAGGCAUUUGUAUGACCCUUCAGAUUGGCUUGGUCUCAGGUCUGUUUUUUUUAAAGAAUUUGGACGGGAAAUCUCAGAUUAUUUCCAUAUUGAUCUGAGGUGAAUUUGGGCGUGUUCGCUCCUCACUAAACUAGUAAGGUAAAGGACCCUUGGAUGGUUAAGUCCAGUCAAAGGUGACUAUGGGGCUGGGGUGCUCAUCUCUACUUUCAGCCCAAGAGAGCUGAUGUUUGUCCACAGACAGCCCUCUGGUUCCAGUGGCCAGCAUAACUAACCCACUUCUGGUGCAACGGAACACUUUAAUGGAAGUCAGAGCACACAGGAAUGCCGUUUCCCUUUCUGCCACCGCUGUACCUAUUUAUCUACUUGCACUGGUGUGCUUUCAAACUACUAGGCUGACAGAAGCUGGGAUGGAGCAACAGGAGCUUGCCCCAUUGUGUGGAUUUGAACUGCCAACCUUCUGAUCAGCAAGCCCAAGAGGCUCAGUUGUUUAGACCACAGCGCCACCCAUGUCCCACUAAACUAAUAUGGACAGAGGGCUGAAUGAAUCAUUUCUCCCUCCUAUUUUAGAGAAAAGUAUUGUGUGCACUGGGCCUUUGUGAAUAUGGACAUGUCACACUCAAUAUGACAUGCACUCAUUAUUCAUUGCACAAUUCAUAGUGGGUAAGCAUGGGUAUGUAUUUGGAUCUGUCCAUAAUAUUAUAAAGACCAAAACAUGCUCUAUAGUAAUAAAAAUGGGCCACUUCCUCUAGGCUUUUGUACAGUUUGAUAGCUGAUGGUUACUUCAAGUUACUGGAUUUGUGUCACACACCCUAUUUGUCUUGAAGUAGCUACCAGCUAUCCACUAUAUGCAUAAUCCAUGCAGAGACAGAAAUUUGAGCUGUGCAGCUGGCUGGGAAAAAGCAUCCUUGGGGAGCUAAACAGUGCAUUGUUGACUUGGAAGAUAGAGGUUGUUUCCAAACUUCCUUCUUCUCCCUGCUCAAUAUGUAUAUUUGUUUCUCUGAAGCAAUAUGCAAACCGAAACACAGCCAUCGUCUGAGACUCAAGCACCUCUGAAUUUUGCAAUACAAUUCUCUAGUUAACUAACGUGUACAAAAAUGCAUACACUAGUGUAAAGUGUGCAGGUAAGUGCAUCUAUUAGUGAAAAUAACAUACAUUCCCCCUCUAUUAGGCGAAAUUGAUGUACACAUACAUGUAUAUUAGCAAAAUUGCAAAGGAAAAAUGAAUUUGAGAAGAGAAAUUAACACAAAAAUUCUGGUGAAAUUUCGUGACAUUUUUAUUCUAUUUUAUUUUGCAAAUUGCCACAGAAAUGUGGAGAACUGAAUUUAAAAUUGGAAAAAUGAGAAAUGCAGAGAGCCAAAACAGACAGACAGAGUCACCCAUCCCUAAUAUUUGUUAACGAAAAGUUUAUGACAAAAGAGCAACAGAAGACUUCUGUGCUUUCUUCACACCCUCUCAUUAUUCAGAAAACUGGGAAAAAUGAAAGAAUAGAGUAACUGGAACUAUAUGCCAUUAUGCAAGUCAAUCCAAGAAAUAUUCUGAUGUUUCUGUUCUUCAGAAGCUAAAUUCAACAGUGAUAGAAGCUGGCUUUUAGACUCCUAUUAGGAUGCAAAUGAAUAGUUACAGACUCCUGUAACAAAUUCUUAUUAAAUGAAAAUGCCUGACCUCUAUCAACUGAAUAUUAAUUUACUGUCAUUGUAUACAACCCUCUUUCCUCAAGGGGUAGAUUUGAUAGCCCAUGGAAACAUGCAUUCUCCACCCCCAAGGAAUAAUGGUUACACGCAAACACACUGAAUUUACCAAAUAGCUGUUAACUUUUUUGAAAAUAUUUAUUGCUCAUUAUUAAUUGCAGCUUUGAACAUUUGGAUUUCUCACUGAAUUCCUUGAAGUGCAUGGACAUGCUUUAAAGGUUUGCAGUCUUACUGUUACCAGAGCCAUCUUUGCUUUUGGGCUUACUGGCACGUCACGCAGGGCGCCAGCCUCUCAGGGGUGCCCCAGUGAGUGGGGGAGCUGUGCGGCUUUGCCGGCGGCCUCCCCUUUUCUUGCACACCUGCCAGCUGUGCCCAGUCAACCAUAUGGCUGGUGGGCAUGCAGCUUGCCUCCCAAGCCUCCGUGGGAGGAGAGCGACGCCCGCAGAGGCUUGGGAAAAGGUCGACAAUUCUGGGAAAUGAGAGGGGCGCCGGAGGGAUCUUUGCACCACUGCGCCGGAUAUGCUUAAGACAGCCCUGACUGUUACCCAAAUGUAGCAAGGGAUAAAAAAAACCCAAUCGUGCAGGCAAACUGCAAGGGCCACAUACCAGUGUUGAGCAGUGUGGAAGUCAAAAUGUAAUGUAAAUGGCAUGUAUAUGUCACCUUUGUACAUUGCAGCUUCCAAACUUUCUCUUCAGUCCUUACCUUCACAAUUAUUUCCAGCUAUCAAGCUAAAAAAUAAAUAAUCUAGAUAAAGAAUCACCCGCUCAUUCUGCAUGAUGGGAAGAACAGGAUGCUAAAGUAUAGGUAAUAGCCAUUUGGAUUUAAACAACACUCAAAUUAUCUGUUGUCACCCGGAGAUUCUGUUUCAGUCUGCAAUGCAAAUUAACCUUGCAACUCUAUCAUUCUCCUUAAACACCGCAUGCAUCUCCAAUUCUUUCCUAAUAUUUAUGAGGAUUCAUAAACUUGUCAGAGCCUGGAAUUAAAUCCCAGUUUUAUGAGACAAUGAUAAAAAAAUAAAUUAUUCGCUUAUGGUACAAACAUGCAUUUCUGCAGGGAAGGUAAAAAUGGAUUUUUCAGUCCUCCAAUUUAUCCAGAAGGUAAUUUAGAUACAUCACUGUUGAAGCAGAAUGAAAGCACCGAUUUACCAAAAAAAAAAAAAAAAAAUCAAUUUGCAAAUUGUGCCUGAAUUGGAACAAGUUUUUGUUCCUACUGGAGUUUGACAAAAAUAAUUGGCAGAAGGAAUUUAGAUAUUCCCUACGUAAACUUCAUAACCAUCAUUUAUUAGAUAAAAAUGAGAAAGAUAUAUGUGCAGAUAAGACUAAUCAGUUGCUUUUGCAACUAAAAGAGAAGGGGGGGGGUGAGGAAAUAAAUGGCCAGUCUCUCCCUCUCCCUUUACACUAGAUGGCACACCUUCUCAAUUAGUGAAGGAUAUCUCCUUCUUGCUUCUCUUUUAAUACUGUUGGUAGAUAAAACAAAAAGAAUGGUACUUUGUAUGGAUGACUGCAAAAGUUAAAACUAUUUAUUAUGGCUGCAUAUAGAGAAUUUAAAAAGUGUAUUCCAACACUGUUGACACAUCCAUCUAUCUCAAGAGACAGUAGAGGGUGCCUCUAAGGGUGAAGCAACACCUAAGUGACCUCCACUGGGUGCAAGCUUGGUCAGCGUGUUUGGAGGUCUUGGGCUGCCCAGAUAACAAGAUUUGACUCUCUGCCUGGCUGAUGUGGUCCAAAGGAAAGCAGAGCAAUAUGUCUGGCACUAGCUUGGCUGCAUAAUUUGUGGGAAGGAGGCUUACAAGGCACCAUCCAACCAUCUUAGGGACACCACUUGGGAUUUGUUUGCUCCUUAGCCUCUUCUUCUCCUGAAGAUGUUCCAGAAGGCAGUGGUGGUUUAGGAUCAGAGUUUUCCUUCUCCUAGAUGAGCUACCUUCCCAAGUUGACGAGCUCCAUCUGCCCCUCACUUCCCUCUACAGCACAUGCAGAAACCAAUUUCUUGACCACGCCUCAUUAAUUCACUACAUAUAUGAGGAGGAAGUCACCUGCUGGCCACACCUCCAAACCUCAACAUGCCCAUUGGUCAAACCACCCAUCCUUCCCUGCAGACUUGGAUUGGGCAUUCAUGAGAAAGGGCCUUGAACAUAUAUAGAACCUCCAAGUGUCCCUAUUUCCCAGAUUUCCCAGUGCACCUGCUCUCUUAUCUCUCAACAUUCAGAUGUGGGGAAUGUGCUCAAUGCAUAAGACAUUACACCAACAGAUACUACUGCCGAAAAGGACUCUUCACAAGAUAGGAUGCCCACCUAAGCUCCAUGAGAUGGUUGUGCCCUUCCACACCACCCAGUAUAACAAUUCAUCCUUGGAUGCCUUCCCUAUAAGGAGUGUGUGAAACAGGGUGUGGCGAUCACACAGGGUCCCCGGACGUUUGACGGUCUAUUGAUCCCUGUGCCACCACUAUGAUCACUUCCCUGCUGCCACCAACCCGUUUCUCUCGGGUACACACUGAGUCCAGACAGUUGUUAACAUUAAAACAAAUAAUUAAGUUUAUUUUAUAAGCAUGAACAAGUUUAUGGUUUCAGUUAAUUUUUCUUGACAGUUUCUUAUCCUUAGUUUCUAUACUGGCCUAUACCUUCCUAAUAACUGCUAACUGAUUAUCCCAGCUGUCUAUCUGACUCCUCCUAUCAGUUUCUCUCACUCUCUCACAUCAAAACUCGACCAACCCACAAACUUAUCCUCCCUCUUCCUUCUCCAACUCCCAACUGACUUCCAAACAACUCCAACUCUAACUCCUCCCCUUGGGUUCCCACUGGCCAAUCACUUCACACUCAUUUAACCCUUUCCUUAUGACCCACCUAGGAGGGCAAACACCACACAGGGCUAUGUUCUCACCCCAACUGCAGACCCUUUAAGGGUCCCUAUUUUCCAGGGACAGUCCCAGAUAUACAGAAACCGUCCCAGUUUCUGAUUUGACCCUUGAAUGUCCUGCAUUUCCUUAGGACAUCCCCUUUUUCAUUGCAAAAAUGUUGGGGGUUAUGGAGUUACGCGACCCCUCCAAGUCAAGGAGAUACAGUAAAUCCGCUCCACCUCACUGUGGAGAAGAGUUACGGUGGACUGCGUGGCCACCCACUCUCCCCUGGGGGUGGGAACGAAGUCCCGCAUUGCCCGGGGGAUCCCAGCAGCAUCAGCAACCAGCCAGCCAAUCUGCUGGCUGGUGGGGGUGUGGCCGGGACAAUUUAAGCCAAGGCGGGAGCUGGAAGGCUUCCUCUUGGUUCACCUCUAGUCAUUGUUUGAUCUUUUGAUGGGGGAGAGGAGGUGGUCAUCACCUGCCCCUCCAAGCUUAAGGUUAUUCUGUUAAAGGAAUCUGGGGGUCUGGAUUGUCCGAAGCCCGGGCCAGGUCUAGGACUAUGACAUGACCCCGACAGGAACACCUGGGGGAGCUCAAGUUGGUCUGCUCCCCCUUCUGGUGGUUUACCCUUACUGGACUCCCUGCAGAACGGGCAUUCAAUGCCUAAGCCAAUACCACUCACAUUCUGUUAUCUAUAAAGUUGUGGCCAAAAUUUGCCCAAUAACAUUAACAUAAUAUUUGUGUCCUGUGUGUUUCAUUUCAAUGAGGGGUUGGUUACGGGGUCUUGACACGCAACUAUACAACCUUCAAAAGACAUCUGAGGGCAGCCUUGUAUACGGGAGCUUUUAAAAUGUUGAAUGUUCUAUUAUUUGUGUAGCUGGACAUUCUGGGAUCAAGUCAGAAACCAGGAUGGCUUUUGUAAAUCUGGUGCUGUCCCUGGAAAAUAGGAACAUUUGGAGGCUCUGCCACGGGAACUACUUUCCACUAACCCCUCCUGCAUCCAGUCUCCUUUAUGUGGAACAAUGGAAGGAUGGAGGGGUGGGGAAGAAAAAAUCUCUCUCUUUCUCCCUUCUCCUGUUGCUGCCACCACACCUGCACCCUGCCAGUCAACCAGGUAAGGAGAAGGGAAGGGAAGGAGUGUUUGUGAGUAGCUGGGGUGGAAGAGGCAGGGGAAUGCUGGAGGCAGGCAUUGGAAGUGAGAUUUUGAUCUGAGUCAGAAAAGAAAUUUCAGGAGGUGGGAUGCUCACUUCCUGUUUUAAUGGAGAUCUUCAAAAGCUUGGGCUUUGCUUCUGAGCCAGGUUCAGGCAAGCUCCCGCAACAUCACUAAUUGGGUGAUGUUACUGCCUUGUUUGCUAUUCUGGGACAGAUUCUGAUUCUUUCCUGGCUUUCUAAAGGGAAAACUUUGACCCUUGACUCUCUCAUACUUGAGUGGUUCCUCUUAUGUCUCUUGCAUUAUUUUGCGUGUGUGAUUUUUGAAAAGAAAGCUUUGCUUUCUUCAAGGAUUGCUAACUUGAAUUUCUGUAGUUUUAAAGCUAUCUCAUUUAAAUCUAUCAUUAAUUUCUUCGUACAAGAAUCAACGCAAAACUAAAAUGUAAUAAUAAUAUAGGCAUUUUGUUUCCUCUCUGCAGAAUGUCCUCCUUGAAUAUAUUUGUGGAGUACAGUGAAGGAUAGGGGCCACCUUGUUGCAGUCAGCUGUCUCCAGAAGAACUGCCUGGAAGGAACCUGAGGUAAAGGAUGUCUACAGCUAAGCACAUCACAAAAGACAUAGUGAUAUGUGCUUGCACAGCUAAUCCAAAUAACUACUAGCCUUCGGGGGGGGGGGAGAUAAGACAACAUGACACGCAGGCUGUAUCUUGUUUAAAAAUAAAUGUUCUCAAGUCAUUAUGGCAUGAAUAAGAGCUUUAGCAAUAAUGCACGGUUGUCAUGCCUCUGGGAUUAGCAGGUUUACUUGAACAUUUUAGCUUAAUGUAUAGGAUUCAUGUUAAAUAUCCUCAAGGCUCAAGUUCUCUCCCGCCUCCCACUCCUCAAAUUCUUAAUGCUGGCAAGAGUCAGUUUAAUUUUGCUUAAGAUAAAAAGCCAGUGCAUCCCAUGAAAAUGGUGGCGAUGAUUAUAACUCUUGAAUUAAUGUUUCUACACAGCCAAUGCAAGAUUAUGGUGAGGUAUACAAACCCGGUAUAUUUAUGAACUUGCCUCCAUGUGUACCACAACAAGGUUUAAGAUUAGCUGGGUAUACUUUCACUGCCAGAACUGGGAGGGUGAGGAGAGAGGUUGCAGUGCGUCUCAACUCUGGAAUUCUUUUUUCAGAGAGGCUCAAAGUGGAUUUGUAACCUCUCGGGUGCAACAUCUUCAUCUGCUGAGUGGUCUGCAGGCAUUCAUGGAGGAAGCAUGUGUUUUCUCUGAACGUGAGUGCCAUCCUCCUGACAGAUCUCCCUGUCUGUUGCCACAGCAGAACUUAAAUCACAUCCAAUUGCCCCACUUUUGCUUGCAGUUUUGUGCACACUUACCUGGUUGCAAGUCCCACAGAACUUAACAGAACUUACUUCUUUCUGCAGGGCCUGCAAGACAGAGCUAUUCCACCAGGCCUUUGGCCAAGGCACAGUCUGACCUCCUCCCUCCUUCUGUAAUCCUCAUAGAACUCUAGCC